rnacentral:misc_RNA from 1 species
GUGGGCAAACGCCCGCGCCGGCCAAAGGAACCCCCUGCCCCAAGCCCCAACCCCGGCGGCCCACGGCAGACCCCGGCGGCUAAGCGAGCGGCCAAAAAGGCGAAAAGCGCCACGCAAAGGAAGCAGCCAGGCCGAGCCCAGCGGGGGCCGCCCUAGAAUCACACGCGCGCCCCCCUCGGCACGGGGCACCACCCACCCCCCGGCGGCGACUCACUAAAGGACGGCGGCGCACCGCGCGUUUCGACGGUGGGCCUGAGAGUCGCCACCGCGGCGAUCGAGACAGCCCGCGGAAGCGAAAACCCCAGACCCUUCCUUUCACAGCGCCGAGGCACUGCUGCUGGAAAAGCUCGAUGCAGUCACAAAGGGUGCCAAAACUUUCCUGUAGACAAUCCAGCCGCAGGAAAUGCGAGUGAACCUGAAACAGCACGGCACAACCCUCGAAGAGAUCCCGUUUCAGCUGCAGUGGAGAAGUUUUCCAACCCAUCGCAUCGCACAGCCUCAGCGGUGUUUUUAGUCACGGGGGGGGGGGGGGGGGGCACCGGUGUUCGCGCCAAAGACCAUGUAACGAGAGCACCGUUAUCUGCAGCUGACAGAAGGAAACCCACGUCGCAUAUACAGCUUUUUGUUGUUAGGACAACGCUUCAUUUCAUUCGAACAUUUGAGAUCGCUACAUCCCCUUUUCCUCCAUCUUAGGGUGUACUGGCAACAGAAGCCACAGUUAUUUUUCUCUUUUCCUCCAUCAUCUUCACUCGACGAGCCUGGUCACUGUCGCAGGUGGCUCCAACGCGACGUUAUCCACGACCUCACCGCCGACAUGCCUGGCGGCGAAGCGCUCUGACCUUUCCCAUGUCGUAGACACUGGACCCCGCCACCACCAGAGGUAGCCCGGCGUUGGCAGGGAUAGGGGGAGGGGGCUGCCCGGCUUCCCCAUAGAGCAGGUACGAGGCCCCUAGAUGCCAAGCUGCAAGGUGUGUCCCCUCUUGCGUCAGAGAAAGCCACAGCUCUGCGAAAAAAAAAAAGAAAGCUGUGAAUCAGAUUGCAUUCACCUCACAGCAGAGGAGUCUUAUCUACAGUCUCUUUCGCUCUCUUUCUCCUUCUACCCUUUCGGUUGCCAUAG